rnacentral:rRNA from 1 species
AGAGUUUGAUCCUGGCUCAGGAUGAACGCUGGCGGCGUGCUUUACACAUGCAAGUCGAACGGAACUACUUUGAUGAGAUUCUUCGGAAAGGAUUUGAUUUAGUUUAGUGGCGGACGGGUGAGUAACGCGUGGGUAACCUGCCUCAUACAGGGGGAUAGCAGUUGGAAACGACUGUUAAUACCGCAUAAGCGCACAAAACCGCAUGGUUUGGUGUGAAAAACUCCGGUGGUAUGAGAUGGACCCGCGUCUGAUUAGAUAGUUGGUGAGGUAACGGCCCACCAAGUCAACGAUCAGUAGCCGGCCUGAGAGGGUGAACGGCCACAUUGGGACUGAGAACGGCCCAAACUCCUACGGGAGGCAGCAGUGGGGAAUAUUGACAAUGGGGGAAACCCUGAUGCAGCGACGCCGCGUGAGCGAAGAAGUAUUUCGGUAUGUAAAGCUCUAUCAGCAGGGAAGAAAAUGACGGUACCUGACUAAGAAGCCCCGGCUAACUACGUGCCAGCAGCCGCGGUAAUACGUAGGGGGCAAGCGUUAUCCGGAUUUACUGGGUGUAAAGGGAGCGCAGGCGGUCCUGCAAGUCUGAUGUGAAAGCCCGGGGCUCAACCCCGGGACUGCAUUGGAAACUGUGGGACUUGAGUGUCGGAGGGGCAAGUGGAAUUCCUAGUGUAGCGGUGAAAUGCGUAGAUAUUAGGAGGAACACCAGUGGCGAAGGCGGCUUGCUGGACGACAACUGAACGCUGAGGCUCGAAAGCGUGGGGAGCAAACAGGAUUAGAUACCCUGGUAGUCCACGCCGUAAACGCAU